UCAGGAUGAACGCUGGCGGUAUGCUUAACACAUGCAAGUCGAACGGUCUCUUCGGAGAUAGUGGCGGACGGGUGAGUAACGCGUGAGAAUCUAGCUUCAGGUCGGGGACAACCACUGGAAACGGUGGCUAAUACCGGAUGUGCCGAGAGGUAAAAGGCUUGCUGCCUGAAGAUGAGCUCGCGUCUGAUUAGCUAGUAGGUGUGGUAAGAGCGCACCUAGGCGACGAUCAGUAGCUGGUCUGAGAGGAUGAUCAGCCACACUGGGACUGAGACACGGCCCAGACUCCUACGGGAGGCAGCAGUGGGGAAUUUUCCGCAAUGGGCGAAAGCCUGACGGAGCAAUACCGCGUGAGGGAGGAAGGCUCUUGGGUUGUAAACCUCUUUUCUCAGGGAAGAAAAAAAUGACGGUACCUGAGGAAUAAGCAUCGGCUAACUCCGUGCCAGCAGCCGCGGUAAUACGGAGGAUGCAAGCGUUAUCCGGAAUGAUUGGGCGUAAAGCGUCCGCAGGUGGCAAUGUAAGUCUGCUGUUAAAGAGUGAGGCUCAACCUCAUAAGAGCAGUGGAAACUACAUAGCUAGAGUGCGUUCGGGGCAAAGGGAAUUCCUGGUGUAGCGGUGAAAUGCGUAGAGAUCAGGAAGAACACCGGUGGCGAAAGCGCUUUGCUAGGCCGCAACUGACACUGAGGGACGAAAGCUAGGGGAGCGAAUGGGAUUAGAUACCCCAGUAGUCCUAGCCGUAAACGAUGGAUACUAGGCGUGGCUUGUAUCGACCCGA
rnacentral:rRNA from 1 species